GAUGAACGCUGGCGGCGUGCCUAAUACAUGCAAGUCGAGCGAACAGAUGAGGCGCUUGCUCCUCUGACGUUAGCGGCGGGCGGGUGUGUAACGCGUGGAUCAUCUCCCUAUCAGAGUGGUAUAACUUCGGGACACCGGCGCUAAUACCGGAUAAUAUAUUGAACCGCAUGGUGCAAUAGUGAGAGACGGUUUUGCUGUCACUUAUAGAUGGAUCCGCGCCGUAUUAGCUAGUUGGUAAGUUAACGGCUUACCAAGGCAACGAUGCGUAGCCGACCUGAGAGGGUGGUCGGCGACACGGGAGCGGGAACGCGCACCAUGCUACUGCGGGAGGCAGCAGUAGGGAACGUGCGGCAGUGGGGGAAAGCAUUACGCAACAGCGCGACGUGAGUGAUGAAGGUCUUGGGAUCGUAAAGCUCUGUUAUUAGGGAAGAACAAAUUUGGAAGUAACCAAGCACGUCUUGACGGUACCUAAUCAGAAAGCCACGGCUAACUACGUG
rnacentral:rRNA from 1 species